rnacentral:rRNA from 1 species
GUGAGGAAUAUUGCGCAAUGGAGGCAACUCUGACGCAGCCAUGCCGCGUGCAGGAAGAAGGCGCUACGCGUUGUAAACUGCUUUUAACCGGGAAGAAACCCCAGGACGUGUCCUGGGUUGACGGUACCGGAGGAAUAAGCACCGGCUAACUUCGUGCCAGCAGCCGCGGUAAUAUGAAGGGUGCAAGCGUUAUCCGGAUUCAUUGGGUUUAAAGGGUGCGUAGGCGGAGCGUUAAGUCAGUGGUGAAAUCCUGCAGCUUAACUGUAGACUUGCCAUUGAUACUGGCGCUCUUGAGUGCGCUUGAAGUGGGCGGAAUGUGCCGUGUAGCGGUGAAAUGCUUAGAUAUGGCACAGAACACCAAUUGCGAAGGCAGCUCACUAAGGCGAUACUGACGCUGAGGCACGAAAGCGUGGGGAUCGAACAGGAUUAGAAACCCGAGUAGUCC